CCCUUUUUUUGUGUAUUAUUUCCCAUUUUUGGUGCGUUAUUCCCCAUUUUUGGUGCGUUUAUCCCCAUUUUUGGCUCAUUUAUCCCCACUUUUGGCUCCCUAAUUCCCAUUUUUAGCUCAUUAAUUCCCGUUUUUUGCUAAUUUAUCCCGUUUUUGGCACAUUUCACCCCAUUUUCCCCUUCCCACGGGUGCCCCGUCCCCUCUCCCACAGGCCCCGCCCUGCCAUGACCUCACCCCAGCUCGUGACGUCACCGCCUAUCGCGACAUCACCAAGGGCCAUGACAUCGCCGACAGUCGUGACAUCACCAAGGGUGAUGACGUCAGCAGCUGUCACGACAUCACCCACUAUCGCGACAUCGCCAACGGUCGCGACAUCUCCGAGAGCCUUGAGGUCCCCGAGGGCCGUGACAUCACCAAGAGCCGUGACAUCACCAAUUAUCGCGAUGUCGCCAACCACCACGACAUCCCCAACUAUCGCGACAUCCCCAACUAUCGCAACAUCCCCAGCCACCGCGACCUCGCCAAGUGUCAUGACCUCGCUGACUAUCGCGACAUCACCACCAAGUAUCGCGACGUCACCACCAACUAUCGCGAUGUCGCCACCAACUAUCGCGACAUCGCCACUGACUAUUGCGAUAUCGCCUCCUAUCUUGACAUCCCCAACGAUCGCCACGUCCCCCAAUAUCGCGACAUCCCCACCGACCAUUGCCAUAUCGCCCACUAUCGCGACUUCCCCGCCCACUAUCGCGACUUUCCAGCCCACUAUCGCGACUUUCCCGGCCACUAUCGCGACGUCGCCGUCGGGCCGCAAGCGCAAGGCGCGCUCGGUGCGGCAGCGGCCGGCGCCGGGCGAGGAGCCCAACAUCUGCGUGGAGUGCGGGCACAGCUUCGCCCGGCCCAGCGCCCUCGCCGCGCACCGACGGAGGCACCGCGCCGCCAGGGCCGGCACCAGUGCUCCCAGUGCUCCCAGUACUCCCAGUGCGACCAGUGCGACCAGUGUGACCAGUGUGACCAGUGCUUGCAGUGGUUGCAGUGGUAGUGGUGCUAGGAGUGCCAGGAGUACUUGUAGUGCUUGCAGUGCUUGGAGUACUAGGAGUGCUUGGAGUACUCCCAGUGCUCCCAGUGCUCCCAGUGCUUGCAACGCUCCUAGGGCUUGCAGUGCUGGCAGUGCUUGUAGUACUCACGGUGCUCCCAGUGCUAGUUGUGAUUACACUGGUAGUAGUGCUCAUAGUGCUCCUAGUACUUGCAGCACUGGCACCGCUAGUAGUGCUCGUGGUGCUUGCAGUGCUUGUAGUACUUGCAGUGCUCCUAGUGCUUGUAGUGCUCAUAGUACUUGCAGCACUAGUACUGCUAGUAGUGCUCGUGGUACUUGCAAUGCUCCUAGUGCUCAUAGUGCUUGUAGUGGUCAUAGUGGUCCUAGUACUUGCAGCACCAGUACCGCUAGUAGUGCUUGUGGUGUUUGUAGCACUCGUAGUGCUCGCAGUGCUCCCGGUGCUUGCAGUACCAGUGAUACCAGUGGUCACAGUACUACCAGUACCAGUAGUACCACCAGUAACACCAGUACCACCACUGAUACCAGUGGCUGCAGUACCACCAGUACCAGUAGUACCAGUGCUUGCAGGACCUGUGCCCAGCCCCUCUCCCGCCCCCCCCAUCUCCCCCAGCCCUCCCCAAACCCCUCCCAAACCUCCCCAAAUCCCUCCCAAAUUCCCCCAAAUCCCUCCCAAACCUCCCCAAAUCCUCCCCAAAUUCCCCCAAAUCCUCCCCAAAUUCCCCCAAAUCCCCCCCAAACUCCCCC
rnacentral:lncRNA from 1 species